AAUAGUUUAUGAAAAGCUGCUAACUUUUUAUUAGUUAAUAACUACUUAUUA
rnacentral:tRNA from 1 species